UACACUCCUACGGGAGGCAGCAGUGAGGAAUAUUGGACAAUGGGUGGAAGCCUGAUCCAGCCAUCCCGCGUGCAGGAAGACGGCCCUAUGGGUUGUAAACUGCUUUUAUCUGGGGAUAAACCUACUUACGUGUAAGUAGCUGAAGGUACCAGAAGAAUAAGCACCGGCUAACUCCGUGCCAGCAGCCGCGGUAAUACGGAGGGUGCAAGCGUUAUCCGGAUUUAUUGGGUUUAAAGGGUCCGUAGGCGGACUGAUAAGUCAGUGGUGAAAUCCGACAGCUUAACUGUCGAACUGCCAUUGAUACUGUUAGUCUUGAGUAAGGUUGAAGUGGCUGGAAUAAGUAGUGUAGCGGUGAAAUGCAUAGAUAUUACUUAGAACACCAAUUGCGAAGGCAGGUCACUAAGUCUUAACUGACGCUGAUGGACGAAAGCGUGGGGAGCGAACAGGAUUAGAAACCCUAGUAGUCCCAUGA
rnacentral:rRNA from 1 species